CGUGACUGUUGUUCGAAGUGGUUUGGCUAGAGGAUGGGCACGUGGGAGUUUUUUCGAAGUGGUUUAGUUAGGGGUGUAACAGUGGUCCCCCCAAGUUCAGGCAUGAAUAUUCAUAUCAUGGGUAGACUUCCUUUUCCGAUUGUGUAUGCUAGCCCUAAGAGUAAGUAUUGUGGAUUCUAAUGAAAUGCUUAUGUAAGAGGAUGAAGUGAGCAGACGUGCCGAAUAGCUAUAAAGUAGGGUAAAGAGCUCAUCUGCCACCGAUGCGUUGACCCACCGAGGACGACGCGUUGGGAGAUGGCUAAAGUCUUGUAAAGCUGAGGGACCGUACGAUCGAGGUGGUGACCCACAGGGACUUCACGUCAGUGGCUCUGAAACUUUUGAAGAUGGAUAAAGAGCUCAUCUACCACCGGUAUGUUGACCCACAGGAGACGACGCGUUGGGAGAUGGCUAAAACCUAGAAAAACGGAGGGAUUGUGCGAUCAAGGUGAUAACACACAGGGGACUCCGCGUCAAGUACGUCGAAGCUUUUGAUGAUAGGUGAAGAGCUCAUCUGCCACCAAUGUGCUGACCCACAGGGGACGACGUGUUGGGAGAUGGCUAAAGCCUGGAAAAGUUGAGGGGACGCAGUGACCGAGGCGAUGACCCACAUGGGACUCCGCGUCAGGUGCAUCGAAGCUUUUGAAGAUGGGUGAAGAGCUCAUUUGCCAUCAGUACGCUGACCCACAGGGGACUAUGCGUUGGGAGAUGGCUAAAGCCUGGAAAAGCUGAGGGAAUGCAGCGACCGAAGCGAUGACCUACACGGAACUCCGCAUCACUUACGUCGAAGCUUUUGAAAAUGGGGGUAGAGCUUUAUCUGAGGCGAAUUGGGAUGGUUUUCCCCUAGUCUGAUGCGUCUUAUGACGUUAAUCGAUGUGACAACUAUCACAUAUUUCCAAGGCGACAGUCGGGCAUGCUGUCUGUUCCCAAAAAAAGGGCUGUUGCGGCUACUUAUUGUUGACGGCUGUCACUGUUCGAGGCAAUGCGUAUUAACCGUGCGUGUGAGGCAUAGUCAGAUCCUAGGCAUUGAUCAAAUCUGGCGUUUCAUUUCAAUGAUCCAGAUUUGUGAACGGAUGAACGGCCUAGAUUGACUUCGUUUGAAUUCAACGGUGGAGAUCAUUUGGAAUGUCCUAU
rnacentral:lncRNA from 1 species